UGCGUAGGCGGAAUAAUAAGUCAGUGGUGAAAGCCUGUAGCUCAACUACAGAACUGCCAUUGAAACUGUUAUUCUUGAGUUAGGUCGAGGUGGAUGGAAUGUAUCAUGUAGCGGUGAAAUGCUUAGAUAUGAUACAGAACACCGAUUGCGAAGGCAGUUCACUAGACCUACACUGACGCUGAGGCACGAAAGCAUGGGGAUCGAACAGGAUUAGAUACCCUGGUAGUCC
rnacentral:rRNA from 1 species